rfam:Haematospirillum jordaniae strain H5569, complete genome.
UGCCAGCCUUCCACCGUUGGCGAUACUGAAGAGGCACUUUACAUCAUUGCCAAGCGUGCGGGUUGGUUCUCCCCAAUCCGAAAACUGGCCCCAUGACCCAACAGUCGGCAA